GAUGAACGCUGGCGGCGUGCCUAACACAUGCAAGUCGAGCGAUCUUCUUCGGAAGAGAGCGGCGGACGGGUGAGUAACGCGUGGGUAACCUGCCCUAUACACACGGAUAACAUACCGAAAGGUAUGCUAAUACGAGAUAAUAUAAGAAAUUCACAUGUUUUCUUAUCAAAGCUGAGGCGGUAUAGGAUGGACCCGCGUCUGAUUAGCUAGUUGGUAAGGUAAUGGCUUACCAAGGCGACGAUCAGUAGCCGACCUGAGAGGGUGAUCGGCCACAUUGGAACUGAGACACGGUCCAAACUCCUACGGGAGGCAGCAGUGGGGAAUAUUGCACAAUGGGCGAAAGCCUGAUGCAGCAACGCCGCGUGAGCGAUGAAGGCCUUCGGGUCGUAAAGCUCUGUCCUCAAGGAAGAUAAUGACGGUACUUGAGGAGGAAGCCCCGGCUAACUACGUG
rnacentral:rRNA from 1 species